ACGGGGUGCAGCAGGCGCGAAACCUCCACAAUGCGCGAAAGCGUGAUGGGGUUAUCCCGAGUGCCGUCCGAUGAGGAUGGCUUUUCAUCGGUGUAAGGAUCCGAUGGAAUAAAGGGGGGGCAAGACUGGUGUCAGCCGCCGCGGUAAUACCAGCCCCCUGAGUGGUAAGGACGAUUAUUUGGCCUAAAGCGUUCGUAGCCGGCUUAUCAAGUCUUUUGUUAAAUCCAACGAUUCAAUCGUUGGGCCGCAAAAGAUACUGUUAUGCUAGAGGACGGGAGAGGUCGACGGUAGUCCAGGGGUAGGGGUGAAAUCCUAUAAUCCUUGGAGGACCACCAGUGGCGAAGGCGGUCGACUAGAACGUGCCUGACGGUGAGGGACGAAAGCUGGGGGAGCGAACCGGAUUAGAUACCCGGGUAGUCCCAGCCGUAAACGAUGCGGGCUAGGUGUUGGGGCAGCCACGAGCUGCUCCAGUGCCGCAGAGAAGUUGUUAAGCCCGCCGCCUGGGGAGUACGGCCGCAAGGCUGAAACUUAAAGGAAUUGGCGGGG
rnacentral:rRNA from 1 species